UACGUAGGGUGCAAGCGUUAAUCGGAAUUACUGGGCGUAAAGCGUGCGCAGGCGGUUUUGUAAGACCGAUGUGAAAUCCCCGGGCUCAACCCGGGAACUGCGUCCGAAACUGGCAGGCUCGAAUUCGGGAGAGGGAUGCGGAAUUCCAGGUGUAGCGGUGAAAUGCGUAGAUAUCUGGAGGAACAUCGGUGGCGAAGGCGGCAUCCUGGACCGAUAUUGACGCUGAGGCGCGAAAGCCAGGGGAGCAAACGGG
rnacentral:rRNA from 1 species